CACAACUUGCUGGUGGAACCCAGCUCAGCCGGUCGGACCUGCCUGACCUUCAUUCCUCACUGAAUGAAAGGCUUGUAUGAACCUACCCCAAAACACUAUAUAUAAUGAGCCGCGGCUCACCAAAGCCACACACACACACAGCAUAGGCAAGGACUGCUCAAAUGAAACCUCAACUCACGCCUCGUGGUGUCCGACUGUUCCUGAAGUCCAAACAGCGCAUUGGGCAUGGUCGCUGUCCGAGGUGCUGAAGGAAAGGGCCAAUUGGAUUCCAGACAAUUUAACUUUUUUUCCCCCGGUGGAUAAAUAUGUUUUUUGUUUCAGAAGGAGAGUACAAUGAAUACAAAAAAAUAUUUUUUGUUGUUGUUUUGUUUUCAAUAACUGUUUUUCAUUUAUUGAUGGACAAAUAUAAGAGAAUAAAAUUUUACACCGCUAGGAAUAAUGAUGAUGAUCAAGAUAGUUCUAAGGGAAUAAUAUUUGCUUUGUUGUAUUGACGUAUGAAUCAUUUAUUAAAGAGCCAUCCACAGAUUAUUCUCUCCAGUCUCCAUCCCAGACGCCGCUUUAUUUCCUCUGAUCUCAGCAGUGUGCCAACAACAUUACGACUAUUUGCUAAACGGUUCUCAUGAAGCCCUGUGCACUGCGAAGGUUUGCAAGUUGGGUAAGAUAUUACGCAGUAUAAUGAGAUGCCCAUAGCGAUUUCCCUACAUGCGCAAAGGCAGCAGAUGUAGGGGUAGUAGUCCCACAGGAUGUGAUCCGGAAUUUCAUCAGCGGUCGGGGUGACCCGAACCUCCUCCAGUUGGGAAUUGGGUGGUGGUCGGACAUGGUAAAUCAUCUUUACUAUGGAGAAUAGGCCAAUUAUCGGUCUCCUGAAAAUCCAGUGAAUCCUUAAAAAAAAAGUAUAAACUGUGGUUGUGUCCGUGCGUAAUAGUGUGUGUUUGAGUGAGCGUCUGUUUGUUGUGGGUGGGCAAGGUGCAUAACUGGGCCUUAGAAAGCCACCUUGAUAUCCCUCAGGUUAAUCUAGCUUCUAAAGAUGUUUUUAUUUAAAUUGCCCAAAUCUGAAUAAAUAAAGGUUGAAUAAUAUAGCCUACGGAAUUCCUACAUUUUGAUUAAACCCAUGAGCACACAGCAUUGUGUAUCGAAUUGUAUUCUGCUCUCGCAUAAUGAUGAAAUGAAAUAUAAUCUAAAAUCAGACUUGAAAACAUUCACACCCAACAAACUAUAUAAAUGCUUUAAAGAGAUGACAUAUUCAAAGGGUGCCAGGUACCAAUGAGUUCAUUAUGGCGGUUAUGACUGGCUGCUUAUAAACGAAGUCCUCGGUCUGUGUACAGCAGAUAAUAUUUUUAUUAAAAGAUCAUCCCUGUUCAGCUUUCAAAGCACACAAAAUAGAUAUGAUCUAUUUUAUUAAAAUUGCAACUCAAACAGCUCUGUAUUUGAAAAUGCUUUGAAAAUAAGACAUUAAUAUGUCUUUUACAAGUCUCAAUUUUAUCUGGAACUGGAAGGCAGCUAAGCCAUAUAGCCCAAACUCCACUAAGCCAC
rnacentral:lncRNA from 8 species